GUGAAUGGGACUAUGUAAUAUUAUCUACUGUUCUUCUUGUUCUGUAUUUUCAGGAAGUGAAUGGGACUAUGUAAUAUUAUCUACUGUUCUUAUUGUUCUGUAUUUUCAGGAAGUGAAUGGGACUAUGUAAUAUUAUCUACUGUGCGGUCAUUGCCUAGGACACAGAUUGAGAUUCACCCAACAAAUGGUUGGAUUAGAAGAAACCUGGGUUUUAUAUCCGACGAGAACCAAGUGAAUGUGGCCAUCACUAGGGCUAGGAAAGGACUGGUACUCAUUGGUAACAAGUAUCUGCUAAGAUGCAAUAGCUUGUGGCAGCACAUUCUUAAGAAGUACUCUCAGGAUGGCAAGUUACUUGAUGCAGACGACUUUCUUGCCAUUAUCAAUUAUGGUGUUUCAGUUUAAGAAAAUUGAUGAAAACGUGUGUGAUUUUGUUGGACAAAUUAAUAGGAAUGAAGAUGUGACAUAGUUCUUUUGAAUAAAUUAAAAAAAAAAAUUCCAGAAUCAAAAACUUGCUGUAGCAAUUUGUGUUUACCACCUGUGUUGCUGAUAAACAAGAAAAAGUGUUUCACAACUGUUAAAUGAAAUGUUUUCGUGAAUCAAACUACACUUGAUUUAAAAAUCAUGUUUUGAUGUUUUUGAUGUGUUUUACUGUGUGAGUUGCCCUCUAAACAUCAAUUAUUUAUCAAUCAAUCCACAAACAAAUAUCAAGCACAUGAUAUCAAAAUGGCAAUCCCCGAUGAAUCCGUGUGAAAUUCCGCAUAUGUUUUCAUUUGUGGUAUGUGCCACCCAUUUUAGACAUCUGCUGUUAAUGUUGCCCACAAUGUAAAAUGUGUUUUUGUGUUUUAAAAACAAUUUUUGUGUGUGUUAAGCUUAAGUGACUCACUAUGUUGAUAUCGAUGAACUAUUUGAUGCUUGGAUAACAGUUUUGACUUACAUUACAAUAUUGACAAGUGUCUGUGAAAAACAACAUACACAAGAGAUGUUGUAAAUGCCAGUAAAUAUUUAUUUAUUUAUUUAACUACAUGUAUAGAGAUUAUUUUAUUGACUUAUUGACUUUCUCUGUUUAAAUUUUUUGUUUUAUUCUUUGUAAAAUCUACAUCAUAUAAGUAGUAUUAAUAGUUAUUUUAAAAAUGGAGCUGUUUUUCGUUUGUAUUAUAUUGUGUCCUAGUGAUAAAGACUUGUAUAAUCUGCAAUGCAUGGAAUCAUAACAACAUAUAAACAUGAGCAAACACAUAUUUUGUCAAAUCAAAAUCUUGUAUGCUACAGACUGGAACAACAAUGGCUGAAAUAUUAUAUGUAAUUGGAUGUAAGGAAUGGGAACUAUUACUUUGUGUAAUGUAACUCAUACAUUGUGAUGUCAUAGUUACAGUGACAUAAUAAUGCUAAUAUUCUUUGUAUUGUCUUUUAAGAUUUUUAAUUUGCACACAUCAGCAAAGAUGGAUAUAAUUUAGUUCUCUGAGAUUUGUUAAACAUUUUUGAAAAAGGCCUUGUUGCUGAACAUAUUAAUUAGUAUGUUUUUAUUUUAAUUAUUUUACUUUUUUCGAAGGCUACUUUUCUGUAGAAAUAUUAUGAUAUAUUUACAAAAUGAAUGUUUGUAUAUGAUGUAAACUGUUAUUACAGUGAUGUCAACUGAUUUAUGAUACUAAUAUUAUAUUUGAAUUACCGCGAAUGUUUCCAUUUUAGCGAUAAUGUUAACAUUUGGUUUUUCGUUCGCGCUUAUGUACUGUAGAUUGAUUUUAAGGCAAUUUUUGUUAAUAGGGAUAGGGAAUUUAGCGAUUUUUAGGCAUAAAAUCAUGCUUGACUUCUUUCUUCUUUUUUAUUUAGUGGAGGAGAACAAAUGUUUGUUUUAAAAUGUAGUAGGAUUGCAUUAUUAUAACAAUGGUGGACCAUAUCACAUAUGCACAACUUUUUGUAAAACUUGUACAUGUUUCAGAACCAGUUACUUUUGAGAGAACAUUUUUAUAGCUUUUAGUUGUAUUUUGAAUUUUUGCAAGCUUUGUAUUUUGAACAUCUUGAUCAUUGAAAUAUAGAUCACAGAUAAAUUCAUAUUUGUAACUAGGGUCUCCACGAGUACAUGGGCAUGGGUCGAGUCUAGGAAGACUCGAGUCCGAACAUAGGACUCGAGUACCCGUAUAAGGUAGAAUGUAAUGGUCAACUAUAAUACAUUGGACAAUGUAGGACAGUAAUUUCAGUAGUAGAUAAUCAACAAUAUAAGUUACACAAUAAUUAUAUGAUCAUGUGCUAGUUUUUCUUUUUAAACUGGCCGUCCGUCUGCCACAAAAUUGAACAUAUCAACUAGUUUCUAAAUGCAAUACAAUGGCAUGACUUGGCAUCCAUGUUCAGUGCUGGAAUUAAGAUACAUUAUGCUAUUUUACUUUAUCUCUUAGUCUCAUCAUCACCUAGUGUAAGUGUUGGGUAAGUUUGACCCUCGAGUACUUGAAUCCAAUAUUUUGGACUCGUGGAGGCCCUAUUUGUAACCAUGCUUUAUAGUUACAAAUAAUUUGAUAAUUUAAACUGCAACAUGCUAGAAGUAUAAUAUGUGUGAUAUUAUUAUAAAUAUUCUUCAUUAAAUGUUUGAGGUGUUUUAUUAUUUCAUCUUUACAAAUUAAAAAAGCAAGGUAUAGGUAUUACUUUUCUAAUGGCAGUACCGGCGGCAAUAAAAUUUAACAUUAACGUUUCACAUUUAGAUCAAUUUUAAAAAAAACUAUAGGUUCUAGGUCAGUGAAAUUUGGUUUGUGAUUGCACUUAUGAAUAUUCAUCACAAUGCAUCAAAUUUUGUUUAUGGUAGGUGAGACAUUUAAUUACACAGAAUUCUUGUGAGUUAUAUGUUUUAAUAAUGGCUGUCUGAUGUAUUGCGAUCAAUUAACAACAUUAUUUGUUUAUGGUAGGUGAGACAUUUAAUUACACAGAAUUCUUGUGAGUUAUAUGUUUUAAUAAUGGCUGUCUGAUGUAUUGCGAUCAAUUAACAACAUUAUUUGUUUAUGGUAGGUGAGACAUUUAAUUACACAGAAUUCUUGUGAGUUAUAUGUUUUAAUAAUGGCUGUCUGAUGUAUUGCGAUCAGUUAACAACAUUAUUUGUUUAUGGUAGGUGAGACAUUUAAUUACACAGAAUUCUUGUGAGUUAUAUGUUUUAAUAAUGGCUGUCUGAUGUAUUGCGAUCAAUUAACAACAUUAUUUGUUUAUGGUAGGUGAGACAUUUAAUUACACAGAAUUCUUGUGAGUUAUAUGUUUUAAUAAUGGCUGUCUGAUGUAUUGCGAUCAAUUAACAACAUUAUUUGUUUAUGGUAGGUGAGACAUUUAAUUACACAGAAUUCUUGUGAGUUAUAUGUUUUAAUAAUGGCUGUCUGAUGUAUUGCGAUCAAUUAACAACAUUAUUUGUUUAUGGUAGGUGAGACAUU